GAUGAACGCUAGCGGCAGGCCUAAUACAUGCAAGUCGAACGGUGUCUUCGGACAUAGUGGCGCACGGGUGCGUAACACGUAUGCAACCUACCUUACAUUGGGGGAUAGCCUUUCGAAAGGGAGAUUAAUACCGCAUAAGACAGUAGCCGGGCAUCCAGCAGCUGUUAAAGAUUUAUCGAUGUAAGCUGGGCAUGCGUCCAAUUAGCUAGUUGGGGAGGUAACGGCUCACCAAGGCAAUGAUUGGUAGGGGAACGGAGAGGUCAAUCCCCCACACUGGCACUGGGAUACGGGCCAGACUCCUACGGGAGGCAGCAGUAGGGAAUAUUGGGCAAUGGACGCAAGUCUGACCCAGCCAUGCCGCGUGCAGGAUGAAGGCGUUAUGCGUUGUAAACUGCUUUUAUACAGGAAGAAACGACUCUUGCGAGAGGCAUUGACGGUACUGUAUGAAUAAGCACCGGCUAACUCCGUGCCAGCCGCCGCGGUAAUAC
rnacentral:rRNA from 1 species